rnacentral:misc_RNA from 1 species
GUUAUCAAGAGAUAGAUGAUCCUUUUUCUUUCUGCUACAGAUUUUAUCUUAUUGAAUUGCAAGUUUCUAAGAUUCAGAAAGACUAGCAGAUUUAGCUAUAUGUAAUUGGCAGAAAAAAAGACUGCCAAUUACAUAUAAUCUUAUUCUAACUACAAAUGCAUCUAUCCUUGUGAAUUCUACCCCACCUCCCAAGCACAUUGAUCUGUGAGCUUAUCAGUUUGAUAUUUGGAAUAAGGUCUUUAGUUUUUUGCUAUACCAAUUGGACGAGGAAACAUGUUCAUGUAAACCUUCUUGGCUAAAAUUACUAAGUCUGUGGCGCACUGAGGAAUGGCCAUG